GGGUUGUGAGGUUAAGCGACUAAGCGUACACGGUGGAUGCCCUGGCAGUCAGAGGCGAUGAAGGACGUGCUAAUCUGCGAUAAGCGUCGGUAAGGUGAUAUGAACCGUUAUAACCGGCGAUUUCCGAAUGGGGAAACCCAGUGUGUUUCGACACACUAUCAUUAACUGAAUCCAUAGGUUAAUGAGGCGAACCGGGGGAACUGAAACAUCUAAGUACCCCGAGGAAAAGAAAUCAACCGAGAUUCCCCCAGUAGCGGCGAGCGAACGGGGAGCAGCCCAGAGCCUGAAUCAGUGUGUGUGUUAGUGGAAGCGUCUGGAAAGGCGCGCGAUACAGGGUGACAGCCCCGUACACAAAAAUGCACAUGCUGUGAGCUCGAUGAGUAGGGCGGGACACGUGGUAUCCUGUCUGAAUAUGGGGGGACCAUCCUCCAAGGCUAAAUACUCCUGACUGACCGAUAGUGAACCAGUACCGUGAGGGAAAGGCGAAAAGAACCCCGGCGAGGGGAGUGAAAAAGAACCUGAAACCGUGUACGUACAAGCAGUGGGAGCACGCUUAGGCGUGUGACUGCGUACCUUUUGUAUAAUGGGUCAGCGACUUAUAUUCUGUAGCAAGGUUAACCGAAUAGGGGAGCCGAAGGGAAACCGAGUCUUAACUGGGCGUUAAGUUGCAGGGUAUAGACCCGAAACCCGGUGAUCUAGCCAUGGGCAGGUUGAAGGUUGGGUAACACUAACUGGAGGACCGAACCGACUAAUGUUGAAAAAUUAGCGGAUGACUUGUGGCUGGGGGUGAAAGGCCAAUCAAACCGGGAGAUAGCUGGUUCUCCCCGAAAGCUAUUUAGGUAGCGCCUCGUGAAUUCAUCUCCGGGGGUAGAGCACUGUUUCGGCAAGGGGGUCAUCCCGACUUACCAACCCGAUGCAAACUGCGAAUACCGGAGAAUGUUAUCACGGGAGACACACGGCGGGUGCUAACGUCCGUCGUGAAGAGGGAAACAACCCAGACCGCCAGCUAAGGUCCCAAAGUCAUGGUUAAGUGGGAAACGAUGUGGGAAGGCCCAGACAGCCAGGAUGUUGGCUUAGAAGCAGCCAUCAUUUAAAGAAAGCGUAAUAGCUCACUGGUCGAGUCGGCCUGCGCGGAAGAUGUAACGGGGCUAAACCAUGCACCGAAGCUGCGGCAGCGACGCUGAUGCGUUGUUGGGUAGGGGAGCGUUCUGUAAGCCUGUGAAGGUGUACUGUGAGGUAUGCUGGAGGUAUCAGAAGUGCGAAUGCUGACAUAAGUAACGAUAAAGCGGGUGAAAAGCCCGCUCGCCGGAAGACCAAGGGUUCCUGUCCAACGUUAAUCGGGGCAGGGUGAGUCGACCCCUAAGGCGAGGCCGAAAGGCGUAGUCGAUGGGAAACAGGUUAAUAUUCCUGUACUUGGUGUUACUGCGAAGGGGGGACGGAGAAGGCUAUGUUGGCCGGGCGACGGUUGUCCCGGUUUAAGCGUGUAGGCUGGUUUUCCAGGCAAAUCCGGAAAAUCAAGGCUGAGGCGUGAUGACGAGGCACUACGGUGCUGAAGCAACAAAUGCCCUGCUUCCAGGAAAAGCCUCUAAGCAUCAGGUAACAUCAAAUCGUACCCCAAACCGACACAGGUGGUCAGGUAGAGAAUACCAAGGCGCUUGAGAGAACUCGGGUGAAGGAACUAGGCAAAAUGGUGCCGUAACUUCGGGAGAAGGCACGCUGAUAUGUAGGUGAAGCGACUUGCUCGUGGAGCUGAAAUCAGUCGAAGAUACCAGCUGGCUGCAACUGUUUAUUAAAAACACAGCACUGUGCAAACACGAAAGUGGACGUAUACGGUGUGACGCCUGCCCGGUGCCGGAAGGUUAAUUGAUGGGGUUAGCGCAAGCGAAGCUCUUGAUCGAAGCCCCGGUAAACGGCGGCCGUAACUAUAACGGUCCUAAGGUAGCGAAAUUCCUUGUCGGGUAAGUUCCGACCUGCACGAAUGGCGUAAUGAUGGCCAGGCUGUCUCCACCCGAGACUCAGUGAAAUUGAACUCGCUGUGAAGAUGCAGUGUACCCGCGGCAAGACGGAAAGACCCCGUGAACCUUUACUAUAGCUUGACACUGAACAUUGAGCCUUGAUGUGUAGGAUAGGUGGGAGGCUUAGAAGUGUGGACGCCAGUCUGCAUGGAGCCGACCUUGAAAUACCACCCUUUAAUGUUUGAUGUUCUAACGUUGACCCGUAAUCCGGGUUGCGGACAGUGUCUGGUGGGUAGUUUGACUGGGGCGGUCUCCUCCUAAAGAGUAACGGAGGAGCACGAAGGUUGGCUAAUCCUGGUCGGACAUCAGGAGGUUAGUGCAAUGGCAUAAGCCAGCUUGACUGCGAGCGUGACGGCGCGAGCAGGUGCGAAAGCAGGUCAUAGUGAUCCGGUGGUUCUGAAUGGAAGGGCCAUCGCUCAACGGAUAAAAGGUACUCCGGGGAUAACAGGCUGAUACCGCCCAAGAGUUCAUAUCGACGGCGGUGUUUGGCACCUCGAUGUCGGCUCAUCACAUCCUGGGGCUGAAGUAGGUCCCAAGGGUAUGGCUGUUCGCCAUUUAAAGUGGUACGCGAGCUGGGUUUAGAACGUCGUGAGACAGUUCGGUCCCUAUCUGCCGUGGGCGCUGGAGAACUGAGGGGGGCUGCUCCUAGUACGAGAGGACCGGAGUGGACGCAUCACUGGUGUUCGGGUUGUCAUGCCAAUGGCACUGCCCGGUAGCUAAAUGCGGAAGAGAUAAGUGCUGAAAGCAUCUAAGCACGAAACUUGCCCCGAGAUGAGUUCUCCCUGACUCCUUGAGAGUCCUGAAGGAACGUUGAAGACGACGACGUUGAUAGGCCGGGUGUGUAAGCGCAGCGAUGCGUUGAGCUAACCGGUACUAAUGAACCGUGAGGCUUAACCUUACAACGCCGAAG
rnacentral:rRNA from 1 species